GUGAAUCAUCGAAUCUUUGAACGCAAAUUGCACUCUCUGGUAUUCCGGAGAGUAUUUGAGUUUGAGGGUAAGUUUAAAUAAAAAUCGGUGUGGUUGCUGCUUUCAGUGGUGACGAAUUGGAUUUUGGUAGUCUUGUGUUUGUUUAGGUGACUUAAAUUUUUGCUUGAUUUUUUUGGAACGUUCUUAAAUGAUUUUACGUACGUUUGGGAUAUAGUUUUAUUGGUGUGGUCAUUUUCAUGAUUUG
rnacentral:misc_RNA from 1 species